rnacentral:rRNA from 1 species
CGCGUGAGUGAAGAAGGCCUUCGGGUUGUAAAGCUCUGUUGUAAGGGAAGAAUGACCAAGAUAGGGAAUGAUCUUGGAGUGACGGUACCUUACCAGAAAGCACGGCUAACUACGUGCCAGCAGCCGCGGUAAUACGUAGGUGGCAAGCGUUAUCCGGAAUUAUUGGGCGUAAAGGGUGCGUAGGCGGUUUGAUAAGUCUGAGGUGAAAGUCGGGCUCAACUCCGAAUGGCCUUAGAAACUGUCGACUGGAGUGUAGGAGAGGGCAAUGGAAUUCCAUGUGUAGCGGUAAAAUGCGAGAUAUAUGGAGGAACACCAGUGGCGAAGGCGGUUGCCUGGCCUAUAACUGACGCUGAGGCACGAAAGCGUGGGGAGCAAAUAGGAUUAGAUACCCUAGUAGUCCACGCUGUAAACGAUGAUUACUAAGUGUUGGAGCAAUUCAGUGCUGCAGUUAACGCAAUAAGUAAUCCGCCUGGGGAGUAUGCACGCAAGUGUGAAACUCAAAGGAAUUGACGGGGGCCCGCACAAGCGGUGGAGUAUGUGGUUUAAUUCGAAGCAACGCGAAGAACCUUACCAAGUCUUGACAUACCGCGCAAAGCGCUGGAGACAGUGAAAUAGUUAUGGCGGAUACAGGUGGUGCAUGGUUGUCGUCAGCUCGUGUCGUGAGAUGUUGGGUUAAGCCCGCAACGAGCGCAACCCUUAUCUUUAGUUACCAUCUUCAGUUGGGGACUCUAGGAGACUGCCGGUGACAAACCGGAGGAAGGUGGGGAUGACGUCAAACAUCAUGCCCCUUAUGACUUGGGCUACACACGUACUACAAUGGCGUAUACAGAGAGAAGCAAGUGGCGACAUGGAGCAAACCUCACAAAGUACGUCUCAGUUCAGAUUGAAGUCUGCAACUCGACUUCAUGAAGGCGGAAUCGCUAGUAAUAGCGCGGAUCAGCAUGCCGCGGUGAAUACGUUCUCGGGCCUGUACACA